AUGAACCGUGGCGUUAAUAUCUCCCUAUCCUCCCCUCCCCUCAUCAGGGCACUGCCUCGCCCCCGAUCCCCUAUGCCACCACCUCUGGAUUUUGAAUCGAUCCAUCCCUUCCACCCCCUCUCUUUUGGAAGAUCCAAUAAUGAGCCCCUUGCGCUAUCAGAUCUUCCUGCCCUCGAUCUUCUCUCUAACGGCUGCACGGAUCGGGCAGAUCAUGCGCUAGGAUUCAUGUCCAUCGUAUGGUAGACUUGGGGUGAGCUCUGAGCGGAAUGAUCAAUGGUUGGUGAAGGAAGCGGGUGCGGAGGAAGAUGGGGCUCACAUUCGGAAAGCUUUUCAGCCUCUCUUCGCUAAGGAGAUUCCGAUUUUUUGGUGCCCACACACAUGUUGUACAGUGGCUUGUUCAUUCUGGUACGCUUGGAUUUGAUUGAGUUCGGUUAGUCGGCUCCUGUUUUAGACUCAGUUAAUUGGUUUGUUCAUUUGGUGAUGAUUUUGGAGCCAGUUGCACUAUCUUAUUCUUACGGUUUUGGAAUGUAAUCCAGCUCUGAUUCAAGAUUUAUUAGAUUGAAGGAUUUACCUGAAGGGAAUUAUGGAUCGGAUUGAUAGGUAGUUGUGGAAUUUCUUGAGGUAGCAGUCAGCUGCAUCGUCUUCCUCGAAGGCUUAUAUUCUCCUCAUGAGAGUGCUCUUCAUUUGAGUUGGUUCAGUCAAGAAUUUUUUGUGCCAUCAAAGAAGUAGCUCAUCAUGGCUUGCAUUAGGGAACCUGCUUCCAUUUUGCUUUUUUAUGAAGGAUUUGAGAAUUGUGCAACAGCAGUUUCAGGGAAGCCAUUUGUGUCAUCAGAUCAUAAGGGCAGACUUUGGGAUAGUGCCAUUGUUUCGGGAUAGUGCCAUUGUUUCUGGAUGAGCCAAACAUGUACUCAUACUUCGGGAUAGUGCCAUUGUUUUCCUACAGUGAAGGAAGCAUCAUGGGGACUUGCUUGAUAUGCUGAUAUUGUUCAGGUGCUAUUUGCAACGGCAUUCUACCAGUCCCUCAAGAUCAACACAACCCAUCAUGACCCAACUUCUCAAGCUGAAGAUAUUGAGAGAGAAAUGCUAAUAAGUUCCUUCGGUUUCUUCUCUUCAAUCUCUCUGUGCUAAAGACAUUUCCCAACAUCUUCGCUCUCUCUACGUUCCAGUGCCAAAGACAUUUCCCAACAUCUUUGCUCUCUCUACGUUCCUCCACGAAAGGCACUUCAUGGGAUACCAAACAUUCUAAUUCUACCUGAUUGAAGAAGAGCUGACAAUUGAGGUACCAUGUGUAUCAUAUUUAACUCAUGAGUCACAAGGAUCAUUUUUGUUAGCAAUCUGUUCUACAACAUUCAUCAGAGAAGGAUGAAAAGAUAUUGAUUGAUAA